rnacentral:rRNA from 1 species
GAUGAACGCUAGCGGCAGGCCUAAUGCAUGCAAGUCGAACGAUACCAAUGGGCUUGCUCAUUGGGAAAGUGGCGCACGGGUGCGUAACGCGUAUGCAACCUACCUUAAUCAGGGGGAUAGCCCGAAGAAAUUCGGAUUAACACCGCAUAAAAACACAGGGCAGCAUUGUCCAAUGUUCAAAUAUUUAUAGGAUUAAGAUGGGCAUGCGUGUCAUUAGCUAGUUGGCGGGGUAACGGCCCACCAAGGCGACGAUGACUAGGGGAUCUGAGAGGAUGACCCCCACACU